CCCUUAGAUGUCCUGGGCCGCACGCGCGUUACACUGAUGCAUUCAACGAGCUUAUAACCUUGGCCGAGAGGCCUGGGCAAUCUUGUUAACGUGCAUCGUGAUAGGGAUAGAUUAUUGAAAUUAUUAAUCUUGAACGAGGAAUUCCUAGUAAACGCAGAUCAUCAAUCUGCAUUGAUUACGUCCCUGCCCUUUGUACACACCGCCCGUCACACCUACCGAUUGGAUGGUCCGGUGAAGCCUCAGGAUUGUGGUUCUUGCCGCUUUAUUGUGGCGUGACCGCGAGAACUUGUCUAAACCUUAUCAUCUAGAGGAAGGUGAAGUCGUAACA
rnacentral:rRNA from 1 species